CACCGCCCGUCACACCAGUGAAAGUCGGCUGUACCAGAAGUCGCUGUGCUAACCGCAAGGAGGUAGGCGCCCAAGGUAUGGUCGAUGAUUGGGGUG
rnacentral:rRNA from 1 species